AUAUAGUGCAUUGAAUGAAUGGCUUUCUAGCGGGGAUAUUGAAAGUGGUGCAGAAAAGGGAUAAUAUCUUCAUCUUCUUUCCAGCGUUGCCACGUAUUUCAGUUUCAUCUUGGCGCCAACAAUUAUUCUUCGCCCCACAUAACUGAAAAAAAAGAAUGGCUCUGAAAGUUGCAAAUCUAGGGUUUCACUCAUUCACUCCAUGUUCUCGUUCAACUUUUGUUUCUCCCAAGCCCUCAAAAGUUCGUUUCGUGUUUCGGUCUUCACAAGUUGAACAGAUAUCUUUUACAGAAUCUGAGAACUCACUCAUCGAAGCUCUUCUUGGCAUUCAAGGACGCGGACGUUCUUCUUCUCCUCAGCAGCUCAAUGCAGUUGAGCGUGCCGUUCAAGUCCUGGAACGUUUAGGCGGUGUUCCUGAUCCGACGAACUCAAAUUUGAUCGAGGGUCGCUGGCAGCUAAUUUUCACCACAAGACCCGGAACGGCAUCCCCGAUUCAGAGAACAUUUGUUGGGGUUGACUUUUUUAGUGUAUUUCAAGAGGUUUAUCUACGAACAAAUGAUCCACGCGUAUGCAAUAUUGUGUCAUUUUCUGAUGCUAUCGGUGAGCUCAAAGUGGAGGCAGCAGCAUCAAUUGAAGAUGGAAAAAGAAUCCUUUUUAGGUUUGACAGAGCUGCUUUUUCUUUUAAAUUUCUUCCAUUUAAAAUUCCGUAUCCAGUUCCAUUUAAGCUACUUGGAGAUGAAGCAAAGGGUUGGUUAGACACCACAUAUUUGUCGCAUUCGGGACACCUUCGUAUUUCAAGAGGAAAUAAGGGAACCACAUUUGUGUUACAGAAGCAAACUGAACCUAGGCAGAGGGUAUUGACAGCAAUUUCCUCAGGUAUGGGUGUUAAAGAGGCAAUCGAUGAACUCAUUUCCUUAAAGCAAAAUACUGGUGAAGAAGAACCAGAACUAGAAGAGGGGGAGUGGCAGAUGAUAUGGAAUUCACAGACUGUGACGGAUAGUUGGUUAGAGAAUGCAGCCAAUGGUCUUAUGGGCAAACAGUUUGGAUGUUACGAUGAACAUUGCAGAUUAUCGGGAAAAAUGGAAGAAUAAAGUUGCUGGUUGAUAUCUUGCUUGGGCUUAAGUUCUCCAUGAAUGGAAAUUUUGUGAAAACUGGCACCAAACUGUAUGACGUUACAAUGGAUGAUGCAGCCAUAAUUGGUGGCCCAUUUGGAUAUCCCCUAAAUCUGAAAAACAAGUUCACAUUGGAGCUUCUAUACAGUGACGAGAAGCUUCGAGUUAGCCGUGGAUACAAUGAUAUUCUUUUCGUACAUAUUCUCACGGGUGCAUUGAGGUGAACUAAUUUAUACAAUAAAUUUAGAAGAUGAGUAGAAAUCGUUUUGUCUGUGAAGAUUUAAAAUCAAUAAUUAUGUAUCUACCUGUCAACAACUCAUCAUUGUAAACUAAGGGUUCAGUAAAAUAAUCGUUUAAUUGAGUGUUUAU